UGAUGAGAUGUUGGACUCCGAUGACUGCACCUUGUCCCUGGACAAUCUGUUUUUUGAGAAACCCAUUGUCCACAAAGUAAAGCCACUGCACCAGGAGGUCAGCCCAUGGCACCUGGAAAUGCCUCCGUCUCUUUCUCAGGUCCCAGCCACUCAGGAUAUGCAGAAGGAGGCAGAGUCUCUCUCUUCUCUAUACAGUUUCCCACAAAUACCCAAGCCUUCUUUUAAAGGAUCAGCUGGCUUCAAGGCUUUACCAGCAAAAAUCAACAGUCCAUACAAUUAUAACAUUGAUGAGAAAGAGAAUGAUCAAACUCAGGAUGGCAGAA